CUAUAUUUACUGACAAGCUGGGAUAUGCACAUGCUCAAGAAUAAGAAAUCAGACCUACCAGGGUCCUUUCAUUAAAGCAAGAGAGAAGAUAGACAUGCUUUAUCUCUGGGGUUCCUUCUCCUGUGCUGUGAUCAGAAGGAGAAGCACUGAACAAGGACAGUCCUAGGACAACUUUUCCAAACGAAAUGAACCUUUCUUUUCUCUUUCUCUGAACAGCUUGCCUGAGGAAGGGAGAGACACGCAAAUUCAGAUGUUUCCCAAGCUUUUGGCUUUGCAUAGUUUCACAUUUACCUGGCAGCCUCCAAAUUUAGCCAUAUAUGAACAGCUAAUGAAAUUGCAAUAUUUAAUCCUGUCUUUUCUCCAUCAUGUGUAGAAUUUACCUUUACCUUUACCUGCUGUAAAUUCUAUUUACAUUUUAAACAGGCAGUGAGAAGGUGGAAAAUGGAGCAAAGGAGCAGACCACAAAAACUACAAGGAAAUGAAAGAGAAAAGUGAUCCUGCAUGGUGUGGAAGAGCAGAAUUUGUUAUUAUUUGUUGUACUGCCUGCUGCAUAAUAACAAACCAGGCUUUGAGUCAACUUGCGAGGAUUGCUGCAGCUCCAUUGUGAUCCUGGGAGCCUCCCAUACAAACCUACUUCUGAAUUUCCCCAUGAAGAACUGACGGAGGAGCAGACUUCUUCCCUCCUUUUCACAGCUGGUAUUUUUUGCUGAGGGGUGUCUGCAUGUGUUUGUGUGUGGUGGCUGCCUCAUCUCCUGAAAUAGAAUAAUAAACGCAUCAGUCCAUAGAUGGAGACAAGCAGGGAAUAGCCCUGCUGCUGUCUCUUUGUCCUAUUUAAUUAAUGCUCGCUGCAUUAAUUAAACUUCAUGUAGGAAAAAUAACGUGUUAACAGUACUAAAACAGCACUAAUAGAUGAUCUGGCCAAUUCCUUUAGUGGCAAAGUAUAAAUUUUAAGUGUUUCUCUUCAUUAAGAGAUCUUCAAGACUGCAAUGCUGUAGAUUGCUGUUCCAGGACACUUGAGAUUAUGCCCUAACAGCAGAUUUCACACUGAAAUGAGUGACAAUUUAGUACUUACAUGAACUUGCAACUUUAAAUGGUUAUGUACUACACAUAGUGACUAGCUACUGCUCUUGCUUCAUCAUUCCCAGGCUGACACUAUAAUGGCAGGCUGUCAUUUUCCCGGCUGUUGGCAGCAGGAUAGAGUGCUUAGGAGUGUGCCUUUGUGGUGCUGACAGCUGUGAAGCACAGGAAAAAGGCUAAAAACAAACCACAUUUGAACUGUAACCAUGCUGUACCUAACAGAACUGGAAACUUGGUUUUCUUCAGCAAUGUUUGCAGCUGACUCACCUUCAAAUGUGAUUUUUGUUCAACCAGAAACCCAGCUAUUUCCUGAAUUUUAAGCUGAAAUAUCUACAUGGUAUCAUAGAAGAGAAUUAGUCUGACAUCACUAAAUUCCAAACCAAAGCACACCUUUGAAGAUGUGAAAUUGCCAGAGAAAAUGCAAAACUUUUUCUAAAACAUUUGCGGUUAAUUGUCUCUUACUGUUGGAACAUCUCAGACUUUUUUUCUAAUGCUCUUGAGAUUGAAAUGGGGGGAGAAAAAAAGGAAAAAAAAAAAAAAAGAAAAAGAAACAAAUGAAAAUGAAAGCUCCAAGGUUUGGUGCUUUCAGAAAAAUGUCACUCUUGGGUGAAAUUGCAAGUGUCAGCAAAACUGUCAAGGACUGGUGGAAUCCAUAACAUCCAUAAUUAGUGUUGCAUUAAGUGGAUGCUGAUCUCAGCUCCAGUCCUUAAAGUGAAAGUAACUCCUUUGAUUUCAGUAGAGUUACUGAAGAUAAUAUUAACUAUAAAUGAGAUCAUACUCACGGAGAAGCAGUAAUAUUUGUCACUUCUGUAUCUUGUACUUAGAAUGAGAGAGAUCUUUGAAAUAACAUUGCCCAGAAGAAAAACCAUCCAGGCGUUUGUUCCCAUUUAUUCAUCCUCUGCAGGCAAAUGUACAGGCAAGACAGAAACAAAGACAGUGAAUGAACUGCAAGAAAGCAUCAGAGCGUAAUCUCAGGACUUUUUAUCCUAGGGAAUUCCCAAAUAGAAGUACAUCUUAAAGAGCUGUGAUUCUUGCAGUUCUUGCAGCUGGCAUGAUUUUUAAACUACUUCUCUUGCUCUGCUGGCCGUUCAUCUAAUGUAAGCCAGGAGGGGGUUUGCUUUAUUUGUAAUGAAAGCACGCUGCCAAUUUAUCACCCCAAGGCCUUUCCAGUCAGGGCUGCUGGUGGUAGGAGGGCUCAGAGCUUCCAGUUCACUGCUCUAACCCCUCCACCGGGCUCAGCUGCCCUGGACUUUUGGCCAACAGCUUUCCAAGGAGAUCUCUGAUAAUUUGCAUGGGGCUCAUCUUGUCAGCUCAUCAGCAUUAAGCUGAUCUCCACGCUCAAACCCUUGCCCUGUGGGAAUCACCCUGAAGAUCACAGACAUCAGGGAAAGUGAUGUCUUUUUUUUUUGUUGUUUUUCUAUUUUUUUUUUUCUAAAAAGAAAAUUGACCUUUUCUAAGGGAAAAUUUUGAGGCUUCUUUUUAAAACUGUAUAUAGAAUAAGCCUUGGAGCUGGAAAAAUGUUUCUCUUUCCUUUUUUCUUUCUUUUUUCUUUUUUUUUCUUUCACUGCAGAUAUUAAGACUGAUUCAGUGGUGUCAGAACAGGGCCAGGGUCACUGAGUCGUUUGCAACACAAACUAAAGUUUAAGGUAGUUGAAUUUAAUUUUUAAUGUAUCUGAGCAAUGUUGUAAUGAGACUCCCGUGUAAGAAAUGUCAGCGUGCAACAUUAAAAGGUG
ensembl:lncRNA